rnacentral:snRNA from 1 species
AUACUUACCUGGACAGGGUCAAUGGACGAUCAAGAAGGCCUAUGGCAUAGAUUGGCGACUUCUAUUGCACUUUGGUGGGGCGCCUGUCUAAGGUCGGCACAAGUGGUCGAGCCUAUGUCAUAAUUUGUUAAAAUGGGCCUCUGUUAGCGCAGCCCCUGC